rnacentral:ncRNA from 2 species
CCUAAAUCCGGCAAAGACGGUCUCCUCUCUUCACCGGGAGGAGCGAAGAGGGAAUGCGGUGCGAGGUUCAAAAACCUCAACUCCGCGGCUGUCCCCGCAACUGUGAGCGACGAGCCAAGGCCGAUAGCCACUGGGAUUUCCCGGGAAGGCGGCACCGAGGCGACGACCCGCGAGCCAGGAGACCUGCCGUCCGACCAAAACCCCA